AUUUAACCAAGAAAGCUGCAUUAAACCAUUAACAGAAAGUAAUGCAGAUGUUCUUGUAAGGACAAAACAGGACUGGCUAGUCAAACCUGAGGCUAAGAUGGGUCUGUGGGGUUCUUCUCUGUAGACCUAGAAGGCAGCAUCAGAAAUGUGUUGCUGGCUUUUGCAGGUGUUGCUAGAGUAGAAUCUGGUUUGGCAUAUUUAAUAAGAUAG
rnacentral:lncRNA from 1 species